GACGAACGCUGGCGGCGUGCUUAACACAUGCAAGUCGAACGGAAAGGCCCUGCUUUUUUGGGGUGCUGGGGUGGCGAAGGGGGGAGGAACACGAGAGUAACGUGCCCUUGACUUUGGGAUAGGUUCAGGAAACGAGGGUUAAGAUAGGAUAGGAUCUCCUGCGGCAGGGGGGGGGUGGGAAAGUUUCUGCGGUUGGGGCUGGACGCGCGGCUUACCAGCUUGUUGGUGGGGUAGGGGCGGACCAAGGCUUUGACGGGUAGCCGGCCUGAGAGGGUGGCCGGCCACCUUGGGCCUGCGAUACGGCCCAGCCUCCUACGGGAGGCAGCAGUGGGGAAUAUUGCCCAGCGGGCGGGCGCCUGAUGCAGCAACGCCGCGUGCGGUAUGACGGCCUUCGGGUUGUGAACCGCUUUCGCCUGUGACGAAGCGUGAGUGACGGUAAUGGGUAAAGAAGCACCGGCUAACUACGUG
rnacentral:rRNA from 1 species